rnacentral:rRNA from 1 species
AGGACGAACGCUGGCGGCGUGCUUAACACAUGCAAGUCGAACGGUAAGGCCCCUUCGGGGGUACACGAGUGGCGAACGGGUGAGUAACACGUGGGUAAUCUGCCCUGCACUUCGGGAUAAGCCUGGGAAACCGGGUCUAAUACCGGAUAUGAGCUCCUGCCGCAUGGUAGGGGUUGGAAAGUUUUUCGGUGCAGGAUGAGUCCGCGGCCUAUCAGCUUGUUGGUGGGGUAAUGGCCUACCAAGGCGACGACGGGUAGCCGGCCUGAGAGGGUGAUCGGCCACACUGGGACUGAGACACGGCCCAGACUCCUACGGGAGGCAGCAGUGGGGAAUAUUGCACAAUGGGCGGAAGCCUGAUGCAGCGACGCCGCGUGGGGGAUGACGGUCUUCGGAUUGUAAACUCCUUUCAGUAGGGACGAAGCGGAGUGACGGUACCUGCAGAAGAAGCACCGGCAACACGUGCCAGCAGCCGC